AUAAAGCCCGUAACACUGGCCUGGGCUGGGGAAGCCUAGGUAAGCUGAGGGGCAGCUCUGGGAAAGUCCUAGGGGUGGGGGCAGUCUCCACAGCCUCCCACAAGGGAGUUACCACCUUCCCGCACUUCUGGGUACAAGUCUCCUGCUCUGGCUGUAUUCCACAGUUAGAACUUCAUAUCUUUGGCUUAGAGCUGGAUUUUCUGUUACCAUGUGGAUGCUCCAGGUGAAGUGCGGAGCUUGUUAACAGACGUGCAUGCCUGGCCUGUGGACUGUGCAGUAAGUGUUGAAAAAGGCACUCUUCCCUGACUUGAUUUCUUUCUGCAUCUCCUCCCAGGGGCCCGCUCCUGCUUAAAAACACCAUGCAUGCAGACUGCUGCUGGGAAUGUGACAGUUGGCUGUUGGAGAGAAGCGGGCACUGGCAUUGAGAGACCUCCAGACUGGACAUGGCCCUGAGUCCAGGGGCUAACCUGGUCUUCCAUGAAGACCCAAAGAUGACACCAAGUCCCCCCUCCUGUGGGGCCCCGGGAUUAGGGUCUGGUACCAUCCCUCAGCCCCACCCAGACAUGGCUCAGGUGCCUAUGUUGAAUCUGCUCCCAAGUCCUGGCUUGGCUCUCGUUCCAGAUCUUAAUGAUUCUUUGAGUCCAGUCUCAGGGGAGGCCUCAGGCCUGGUGUCUGAAAACACCCCCAGACCUGAUGACAGCAGAGCUAUCGCUCCAGCCUCCCUCCAGAUCACCAGUUCUUGUUCUGGUGAAGCCCUGGACCUGGAUUCCAAGGAUGUCUCAAGGCCUGACUCACAGGGGCGCCUCUGUCCAGCCUCAAACCCCAUUCUGAGCCCUAGCUCUACUGAGGCCCCUCGUCUGAGCUCUGGGAACCACCCUCAGUCAAAUUCUGAAGAUGCCUUCAAGUGCCUCUCAAGUAAGAUUUUCAAGUUGGGUCAGAGAAACUCCAACCCUUCUAGGCAUGAAUUAAACCCAUUUAUAAGGCACCAUUCCAGAGAAGGUCUGGUUCUGGGCCACUGCAUCUCUAGGCCAAGCUCAAAAGCACUCCUUAUUCCAACCUCAAACUCUUCUCUGGACCUUGACUCCAAUCCAUUGCUCAACAUGGGCUCAAGAAACACCUCCAAGCUGAACCUGAAUGUAGCUCCAGAUUCUCAUGGGACCCUAAUCCCAGACACAAAUGAGACCAUCACUUUGGCUUCACAUAAUAUCUCUGAGUCUGUUUCAAAAGGAGCCUUUAGUACCACCUGGAGCACAAGUUCAAAGGAAACCAUGAAUGUGGCUUCCAGCGGCCACUCCAGAUCUGAUUUGAGCGUGACCAUCACUCAAGCCUCGUAUGUGACCCUGAUUCCUGGCUCCAGCUAUGGUAUCAGCCUGCACUCCAGCACCCAUGAGCCCAACUCCACCAUCUCUCCACCCUCAUGCAUGACUCUAAUCCUGGGUUCCAAUGAGACUCUGAGCCUGGACUCCAGCCUCCUGUUCAGCGACACCUCCACCUUGACGCUGAGCAGUCAGCAGGAUGAUGCCAAGGACAACAGCAUCCACACUGUGCCCCUGGAGGAGAAUCUGGAGAGUUGGAGUGAGAUGGCCAGCAUUAAGGUGGGCCAGUUCCCGCUGGGAUUCCCCAUCUCCAACCCCGCAGGCAAGGACGCCGUGACCUUGCAAGGCAUCCCUGAGGAUGGAGUUUCACUCUUGUUGCCCAGGCUGGAGUGCAAUGGUGCGAUCUCGGCUCACUGCAACCUCUGCCUCCCAGGAGCCUUUGAUGAAGUGACCUCAUGCCUGGUGAAGGUGCCAGAGAAGACAGAAGGUGGCAACAACAUGGCUCUGGUUGAGAAUGUCACCACCCUUCAGAAGAGCCAGGAUCUGCUGGAGGCAGAAGGAGAAAAGAAGACCAUGAUAAAGAAGAUUAUGAGGCAGAUCCAGGAGGAGCCACUGGAUUCUCUCUCAAGCUCCGUCCGCAAGCAGGCCAUGGAGAUCCUGACCCAGCUGAGCCACACCCAGCCCACCCUGGGCAUGCGGGAGAGGUCGGAGCUGGUGAACGUGUGUGUGCACAGCGUGUUCUCCCUGCCCUCCGUGCAGGCGAUGCAGGAGAAGGACGAGGCCAAGGCUGAGACCAUCCAGGCUCUUUACCAUCAGACCCUGGAGGCCCUGCAGACACUGCUCAAAGCCCUCUUUAUCGAGGACCCCACUCCUGCUGGGCUGAAGAGCAUCUUGGAGGCCCUGGGGCCUUGGAUGAACUCUGGGAAGGCCCAUGAGCGAGCACGGGCUGUGAACACCAAUGUCUCUGUGUUGAACCACAUGCUUCUAACUCUGCCUUUCUUUAUUGCAAUACAAACAGAUGCCCUUGGGGUUCCCGGCGCUGGGGCUUCUGCUGGGGAGACUCAUCCUUCACAUUGGGGAUCCUGAUGAGGAGAUUGGCUGUGAGGCUCUGGACGGCAUCAUCAUCCUCUACACUAUUCUGGAGCUCCAAAAACGAGCCAGAGAUAAGGAAGAGACCAACAAAAAGGAGCUAUAUGAGAGCAACAAGCAUUUCCUGGGGCCCUACAACCCUGUGAGCCCGUGCCAGAACAUUCUGCGGGUGAUCGAGGAAUUUGGAGACUUCCUGGGGCCCCAGCAGAUAAAGGACCUGCUGCUGGCCGCCCUGGAAGGGCUGAAAGGCAGCUCAGAGGCUCCAGGGAAGGACUCCAGGGAGAUGAUGCAGCUGGCCUCGGAGGUCAUGCUCAGCUCGGUGCUGGAGUGGUACCGCCACAGGGCGCUGGAGGUGAUCCCAGAAAUCAUGCAAGGCAUCUACAUGCAGCUGAGCCACAUCCAGGAGCCUCGGGCCCGCCAGGUGGCCCUGCUGCCCGUCUCCCUCCUGGCUAGCUCCUUCAUGACCGAGGUUGUGGUGGCCCUGCUCAUGUGCCCCCUCCCACUGAACAGCAAUGGAGCAGAGAUGUGGAGGCAGCUGAUACUGUGUAAGCCCAGCUGUGAUGUCCGAGACCUCCUGGAUCUGCUCCUGGGCAGCCUGAAGGAGAAGCCCGUCACCAAGGAGGGCCGGGCUUCCAUCGUGCCCCUGGCGGCAGCCAGCGGCCUGUGCGAGCUCCUGUCCGUCAACAGCUGCAUGGGCCGUGUGAGGCGCAUCUACCCUCAGCUGCUCCUGGCCCUGCUCAUUCAGGUCCAUUACCACAUCGGCCUCAACCUGCCUGGCUGCGUGGCUCCUCCCAAGGACACCAAGAAGGGUGCACAGCCCUCUCCCUUCGUACCUGUGCGCUGGGUGGUGAAAGUGGUGAAAACCCUGCUACUGAGGAUGGGCUGCUCUUAUGAGACCACGUUUCUGGAGGACCAGGGUGGCUGGGAGCUCAUGGAGCAGGUGGAGAGCCACCACCGCGGAGUGGCCUUGCUGGCAAGGGCCAUGGUGCAGUACUCCUGCCAGGAGCUGUGCCGCAUCCUCUACCUGCUCAUCCCGCUCCUGGAGCGAGGCGACGAGAAGCACAGGAUCACGGCCACCGCCUUCUUCGUGGAGCUCCUCCAGAUGGAGCAGGUGCGCCGGAUCCCCGAGGAAUACUCUCUGGGGCGGAUGGCAGAAGGCCUGAGCCACCACGACCCCAUCAUGAAGGUGCUGUCCAUUCGAGGCCUGGUCAUCCUGGCCCGCAGGUCUGAGAAGACCGCCAAGGUGAAGGCCCUCCUGCCCUCCAUGGUGAAGGGCCUGAAGAACAUGGAUGGGAUGCUGGUGGUGGAAGCGGUCCACAACCUCAAGGCUGUCUUCAAGGGGCGGGACCAGAAGCUGAUGGACAGUGCGGUCUAUGUGGAGAUGCUGCAGAUCCUGCUGCCGCACUUCAGCGACGCACGAGAGGUCGUGCGCUCCUCCUGCAUCAACCUGUAUGGGAAGGUGGUCCAGAAGCUUCGGGCACCACGCACUCAGGCCAUGGAGGAGCAGCUGGUCAGCACCUUGGUGCCCCUACUGCUGACCAUGCAGGAGGGCAACUCCAAGGUAAGCCAGAAGUGUGUGAAGACCCUGUUACGCUGUUCUUACUUCAUGGCUUGGGAGUUGCCAAAAAGAGCUUAUAGCCGGAAGCCCUGGGACAACCAACAGCAGACAGUGGCCAAAAUUUGCAAGUGCCUUGUGAACACCCACCGAGACAGCGCCUUCAUAUUCCUCAGCCAGAGCCUGGAGUAUGCCAAGAACUCACGGGCCUCCCUCCGGAAGUGCUCAGUCAUGUUCAUAGCAACUCCUAGAGGGCAGAGAUUUCAUCUGCUCUGCCCACCGCUAUAUAGCCAGCCACUAGAACAGGCCGGAAGCGCAGAAAGAGCUAAGAAUUUGAAAAGGUCCCCCUAUUUAUGUCGAGAGCGCCAUCAGAAAUUGAUCCCAGGGAGAAUCCUGACUUGGCUUGUCUCCAGUCAAUUAUUUUUGAUGAGGAGCGUUCUCCAGAAGAACAGGCCAAGACCUAUAAAGAUGAGGGCAAUGAUUACUUUAAAGAAAAAGACUACAAGAAAGCUGUAAUUUCAUACACUGAAGGCUUAAAGAAGAAAUGUGCAGAUCCUGAUUUGAAUGCUGUCCUUUAUACCAACCGGGCAGCAGCACAGUACUAUCUGGGCAAUUUUCGUUCUGCUCUCAAUGAUGUGACAGCUGCCAGAAAGCUAAAACCCUGCCACCUCAAAGCAAUAAUAAGAGGUGCCUUAUGCCAUCUGGAACUGAAACACUUUGCCGAGGCCGUGAACUGGUGUGAUGAGGGACUGCAAAUAGAUGCCAAAGAGAAGAAGCUUCUGGAAAUGAGGGCUAAAGCAGACAAGCUGAAGCGAAUUGAACAGAGGGAUGUGAGGAAAGCCAACUUGAAAGAAAAGAAGGAGAGGAAUCAGAAUGAGGCUUUACUCCAGGCCAUCAAGGCUAGGAAUAUCAGGCUCUCAGAAGCUGCCUGUGAGGAUGAAGAUUCAGCCUCAGAAGGUCUAGGUGAGCUUUUCCUGGAUGGACUCAGCACUGAGAACCCCCAUGGAGCCAGGCUGAGUCUAGAUGGCCAGGGCAGGCUGAGCUGGCCUGUGCUCUUUCUGUACCCAGAGUAUGCCCAGUCGGACUUCAUCUCUGCUUUUCAUGAGGACUCCAGGUUUAUUGAUCAUCUAAUGGUGAUGUUUGGUGAAACACCCUCUUGGGACCUAGAGCAAAAAUAUUGCCCUGAUAAUUUGGAGGUCUACUUUGAGGAUGAGGACAGGGCAGAACUAUACCGGGUGCCUGCCAAGAGCACCUUGCUACAGGUUCUACAGCACCAGAGGUACUUUGUAAAAGCCCUGACACCAGCAUUUUUGGUCUGUGUAGGAUCCUCUCCUUUUUGCAAGAAUUUUCUCCGGGGGAGAAAGGUGUACCAGAUACGAUGACUAAGCCAGGGCCCCUGGAUCUCCUCCCUUACCCUCCUCUGCUGGGAACCUAGCACACCUGAAUCAGCUGGACAUACUGCUGGAGUCCAGUGCUUUCUUUCCGUCACCCUGGGGAUAGUCCUUCCUGGCAUCGUGGUGGGGGAGGAGCCUCUGGCUUCCCUAAACUGCAGCCUCUCUGGCUGGUCUUCACUUUCCUCAGUUGAUAUAAAACUCUGGGUCUUGGCCAUGAUGUCCUUGGACUCCAUCGCUAAAGGGACCAUCUGCUGCAGUUACCACAGCAACUGACCUGAGCGGCACCCUGGUCUGUGGAGAUGGACUCAGGAUCCAGUGACAUGAUUCUGAACUUUUGUGGAGUUUGACACCUUAGAGAAGCUACCCCUCAAACUGCACAUCUACACACAAACAAACAAUGCAUAGGAUUCCAAGGCUUUAAAGCUGAGAGACCCUGGCCUCAAGUUAUUUCAUGCGCACAGAGGGAAGCCAUGUGGGGUUGCUGAAGAUGCCUUGAGGUGAAAUGGGGGCAGGAAAGCCACAUCUUGCUCUGCAUUUAUAAAGACCGUACAAACUCAGAUCCUUGGUACCCCUAAAAAGAUUGCCAAUUUUCUUCAUCUUUGCCAUAUGGAGGACUGUGACAGACUUUGGACAGUGGCCUCUUGAGUUCCUCUGCAGUUUUGACAUUUAGGAUUUUGUGUCUUUUAAACUGGAAAAUCUUCUAGCAUGUUGGGUUGUUACAGAGUAUAUUUUUGUCUGCAGCUGUUUGUUGCCCCAUUCCUAAGAGGAGUUUAUCCAUCCUGACUUGUAGCUGUGUGACUUCUUGCAGUGCCCCCACCCCAUCCCCCCGGGAGAGUGUACUUCCCUGCUCCCAAUGCAGAGGGAUAUGCACAGGCAUGAGCUGUCCUGCGUCUGACAGAAGCCUGAAGAGUCAUGUGUGGUUGGCCUGUGCUCUUCCCUCUGCUGUGAGAACACAUUUCCCACAGAGGAGCCGUUCCAUGGAGCCGAGCUACAGCAGCUGGCCUGCAGCCACUGAGUGUCACAGCAAUGAGAGAGCAAUGUUUGCUGUAGUAAGCAGUGAGAUUUAGGGGUUGGUUGUUACUAUAGCAGAGCUAAUACAUGAGUAAACUGAAGCCAGCUGCUGUCCUUAAAA